rnacentral:rRNA from 1 species
UUGAACGCUGGCGGCAUGCUUUACACAUGCAAGUCGAACGGCAGCGCGGGCUUCGGCCUGGCGGCGAGUGGCGAACGGGUGAGUAAUACAUCGGAACGUGCCCAGUAGUGGGGGAUAGCUCGGCGAAAGCCGGAUUAAUACCGCAUACGACCUGAGGGUGACAGCGGGGGAUCUUCGGACCUCGCGCUAUUGGAGAGGCCGAUGGCAGAUUAGCUAGUUGGUAGGGUAAAGGACUACCAAGGCGACGAUCUGUAGCUGGUCUGAGAGGACGACCAGCCACACUGGGACUGAGACACGGCCCAGACUCCUACGGGAGGCAGCAGUGGGGAAUGUUGGACAGUGGGCGAAGGCCUGAUCCAGCAAUGCCGCGUGUGUGAUGAAGACCUUCGGAUUGAAAAGCACUUUUGGCGGGAACGAAAAGGACUGUGCCAAUACCACGGUUCGAGGACGGUACCCGCAGAAUGAGCACCGGCUAACUACGUG